rnacentral:lncRNA from 1 species
ACUGUAGUAGUGUGGAUGAUUUAUUUUUAGCAUUAAGAAAGAUGGUUCAUGAGAAAUACUUUUGCAUUUAGUAAGAGUAUUUCUCACAAGCUAUUAAUAAAUACUCAGGAUGUUUACCUUCUAUUUUCAUUACUCCAAGUUUUAUGUAUAAAAAUCUUUGUAAAGAUUCUAAGUAAGAAUGGAGAAGUGAUGACAUAUUUGAGAAAAAAGUUCUCUAGGUUGAAUGAGGCAAAAAUUAAAGAGGAUGCUUUUUAUUGGUCCAUAAAUAAAAUCUAUAUGUAAGGAUGCAGAAUUUGAAAAUAAAUUGAAUGGCACAGAAAAAAGAGCAUGGAAUGCAUUCAAAUUAGUCUGUAAUAAUUUUUUUGAAAAUAAAAAGUCCAAAAACUAUAGAGAACUUGUAAAUGAACUACUUAAAUGCCUAUGAAAACAUGAAAUGAAAUAUAACAUUGAAACUACAUAUCCUCAGUUCACAUUUGGACUUUUGCCCACAGAAUUUAGAUACAGUUAGUGGUGAACAAGAGGAAAGAUUCCACCAUUAUAUAGCUACCAUGGAACAGAGAUGUGCUGGAAAAUGGAAUGUCACAAUGCUUGCAUAUUACUGCUGGAAUAUAGUUAAGAGACAUUGAAGAAAUGGAAUACAAAUGAAAAAAGUUAAAAACAUAUUAAAGUGUUUUAUAAAAUACCAAUUAAUUAUUUUUCUAUUCUCAUAAACACCAAUAUUUUUGUAUAUUAUUAAAAUGGAAAAAAUAAAAAUUUAUGUUUGUUGUUGUAUGAAAACUGAACAUGCUGGAACAAUUCUGAUUGCAGUAUUGAAUUCAGCACCCAAAAAUUAGUUAAAACCCACACUCUUUCAUCUAAAGGACAGAAAAAAGUUUAAAUUUGUUGAGCAGUAUAGAUGCAUGCUUUACAAAACAUAUAUUAUGUAAACAAGUAUGCUACUUUAAAUUUUGUUUUUAAAAUAAAUAUAUGUAAAU